rnacentral:rRNA from 14 species
UUUUCUGAGAAUUUGAUCUUAGUUCAGAUUGAACGCUGGCGGCGUGGAUGAGGCAUGCAAGUCGAACGGAAUAAUGACUUCGGUUGUUAUUUAGUGGCGGAAGGGUUAGUAGUACAUAGAUAAUCUGCCCUCAACUUGGGGAUAACGGUUGGAAACGAUCGCUAAUACCGAAUGUAGUGUAAUUAGGCAUCUAAUAUAUAUUAAAGAAGGGGAUCUUCGGACCUUUCGGUUGAGGAAGAGUUUAUGCGAUAUCAGCUUGUUGGUGGGGUAAAAGCCCACCAAGGCGAUGACGUCUAGGCGGAUUGAGAGAUUGACCGCCAACACUGGGACUGAGACACUGCCCAGACUCCUACGGGAGGCUGCAGUCGAGAAUCUUUCGCAAUGGACGAAAGUCUGACGAAGCGACGCCGCGUGUGUGAUGAAGGCCUUAGGGUUGUAAAGCACUUUCGCCUGGGAAUAAGAGAGAUUGGCUAAUAUCCAAUCGAUUUGAGCGUACCAGGUAAAGAAGCACCGGCUAACUCCGUGCCAGCAGCUGCGGUAAUACGGAGGGUGCUAGCGUUAAUCGGAUUUAUUGGGCGUAAAGGGCGUGUAGGCGGAAAGGAAAGUUAGAUGUUAAAUUUUGGGGCUCAACCCCAAGUCAGCAUUUAAAACUAUCUUUCUAGAGGAUAGAUGGGGAAAAGGGAAUUCCACGUGUAGCGGUGAAAUGCGUAGAUAUGUGGAAGAACACCAGUGGCGAAGGCGCUUUUCUAAUUUAUACCUGACGCUAAGGCGCGAAAGCAAGGGGAGCAAACAGGAUUAGAUACCCUGGUAGUCCUUGCCGUAAACGAUGCAUACUUGAUGUGGAUGGUCUCAACCCCAUCCGUGUCGGAGCUAACGUGUUAAGUAUGCCGCCUGAGGAGUACACUCGCAAGGGUGAAACUCAAAAGAAUUGACGGGGGCCCGCACAAGCAGUGGAGCAUGUGGUUUAAUUCGAUGCAACGCGAAGGACCUUACCUGGACUUGACAUGUAUUUGACAACUGUAGAAAUACAGCUUUCCGCAAGGACAGAUACACAGGUGCUGCAUGGCUGUCGUCAGCUCGUGCCGUGAGGUGUUGGGUUAAGUCCCGCAACGAGCGCAACCCUUAUCGUUAGUUGCCAGCACUUAGGGUGGGAACUCUAACGAGACUGCCUGGGUUAACCAGGAGGAAGGCGAGGAUGACGUCAAGUCAGCAUGGCCCUUAUGUCCAGGGCGACACACGUGCUACAAUGGUUAGUACAGAAGGUAGCAAGAUCGUGAGAUGGAGCAAAUCCUAAAAGCUAGCCCCAGUUCGGAUUGUAGUCUGCAACUCGACUACAUGAAGUCGGAAUUGCUAGUAAUGGCGUGUCAGCCAUAACGCCGUGAAUACGUUCUCGGGCCUUGUACACACCGCCCGUCACAUCAUGGGAGUUGGUUUUACCUUAAGUCGUUGACUCAACCUAUUUAUAGGAGAGAGGCGCCCAAGGUGAGGCUGAUGACUGGGAUGAAGUCGUAACAAGGUAGCCCUACCGGAAGGUGGGGCUGGAUCACCUCCUUU